rnacentral:rRNA from 1 species
GAUUGAACGCUGGCGGCAGGCCUAACACAUGCAAGUCGAAUGGUAACAGGAAACAGCUUGCUGUUUCGCUGACGAGUGGCGGACGGGUGAGUAAUGUCUGGGAAACUGCCUGAUGGAGGGGGAUAACUACUGGAAACGGUAGCUAAUACCGCAUAACGUCGCAAGACCAAAGAGGGGGACCUUCGGGCCUCUUGCCAUCAGAUGUGCCCAGAUGGGAUUAGCUAGUAGGUGGGGUAACGGCUCACCUAGGCGACGAUCCCUAGCUGGUCUGAGAGGAUGACCAGCCACACUGGAACUGAGACACGGUCCAGACUCCUACGGGAGGCAGCAGUGGGGAAUAUUGCACAAUGGGCGCAAGCCUGAUGCAGCCAUGCCGCGUGUAUGAAGAAGGCCUUCGGGUUGUAAAGUACUUUCAGCGGGGAGGAAGGGGGUAAAGUUAAUACCUUUGCUCAUUGACGUUACCCGCAGAAGAAGCACCGGCUAACUCCGUG